rnacentral:rRNA from 1 species
AUGCACGCUGGCGGCGUGCCUCAUACCUGCCAGUCGAGCGAACGGACGAGAAGCUUGCUUCUCUGAUGUUAGCGGCGGACGGGUGAGUAACACGUGGAUAACCUACCUAUAAGGCUGGGAUAACUUCGGGAAACCGUAGCUAAUACCGGAUAAUAUUUUGAACCGCAUGGUUCAAAAGUGAAAGACGGUCUUGCUGUCACUUAUAGAUGGAUCCGCGCUGCAUUAGCUAGUUGGUAAGGUAACGGCUUACCAAGGCAACGAUGCAUAGCCGACCUGAGAGGGUGAUCGGCCACACUGGAACUGAGACACGGUCCAGACUCCUACGGGAGGCAGCAGUAGGGAAUCUUCCGCAAUGGGCGAAAGCCUGACGGAGCAACGCCGCGUGAGUGAUGAAGGUCUUCGGAUCGUAAAACUCUGUUAUUAGGGAAGAACAUAUGUGUAAGUAACUGUGCACAUCUUGACGGUACCUAAUCAGAAAGCCACGGCUAACUACGUG